rnacentral:rRNA from 1 species
GACGAACGCUGGCGGCGUGCUUAACACAUGCAAGUCGAACGGAAAGGCCCUGCUUUUGUGGGGUGCUCGAGUGGCGAACGGGUGAGUAACACGUGAGUAACCUGCCCUUGACUUUGGGAUAACUUCAGGAAACUGGGGCUAAUACCGGAUAGGAGCUCCUGCUGCAUGGUGGGGGUUGGAAAUUUUCGGCGGUUGGGGAUGGACUCGCGGCUUAUCAGCUUGUUGGUGGGGUAGUGGCUUACCAAGGCUUUGACGGGUAGCCGGCCUGAGAGGGUGACCGGCCACAUUGGGACUGAGAUACGGCCCAGACUCCUACGGGAGGCAGCAGUGGGGAAUAUUGCACAAUGGGCGGAAGCCUGAUGCAGAAACGCCGCGUGCGGGAUGACGGCCUUCGGGUUGUAAACCGCUUCCGCCUGUGACGAAGCGUGAGUGACGGUAAUGGGUAAAGAAGCACCGGCUAACUACGUG